rnacentral:rRNA from 1 species
GACAGAGGUGCCAAGCGUUAGGCGGAAUCACUGGGCUUAAAGCGUGUGUAGGCGGAUCGUUAAGUACCUUGUGAAAUCCCACGGCUCAACCGUGGAACUGCUGGGUAUACUGGCGAUCUUGAGCCACCUAGGGGCGAGCGGAACAAGCGGUGGAGCGGUGAAAUGCGUAGAUAUCGCUUGGAACGCCAACGGUGAAAACAGCUCGCUGGGGGUGUGCUGACGCUGAGACACGAAAGCCAGGGGAGCGAACGGG